rnacentral:rRNA from 1 species
GACGAACGCUGGCGGUGCGCUUAACACAUGCAAGUCGAGCGAAGCGGCGGACGGGUGAGUAACACGUGAGUAACCUGCCUUUGACAUUGGGAUAGCCUCGGGAAACUGGGAUUAAUACCAAAUGGUCAAAGAUGGACUCGCGGCUGAUUAGCUAGUUGGUGAGGUAACGGCCCACCAAGAGGAAGAUCAGUAGCCGGACUGAUAGGGUGAUCGGCCACAAUGGAACUGAGAGACGGUCCAAACUCUGCGGGAGGCAGCAGUGGGGAAUAUUGCACAAUGGGGGAAAACCUGAUGCAGCGACGCCGCGUGAGAGAAGAAGGCCUUCGGGUCGUAAAGCUCUUUGAUGAGGGAAGCGGUACCUAAAGAAAAAGCCCCGGCUAACUACGUGCCAGCAGCCGCGGUAAUUC